rnacentral:rRNA from 1 species
GACGAACGCUGGCGGCGUGCCUAAUACAUGCAAGUCGAGCGAAGUUUUUCUGGUGCUUGCACUAGAAAAACUUAGCGGCGAACGGGUGAGUAACACGUAAAGAACCUGCCUCAUAGACUGGGACAACUAUUGGAAACGAUAGCUAAUACCGGAUAACAGUAUUUCUCGCAUGAGAGAUAUUUAAAAGUUGGUUAUGCUAACACUAUGAGAUGGCUUUGCGGUGCAUUAGCUAGUUGGUGGGGUAAAGGCGCACCAAGGCGACGAUGCAUAGCCGACCUGAGAGGGUGAUCGGCCACACUGGGACUGAGACACGGCCCAGACUCCUACGGGAGGCAGCAGUAGGGAAUCUUCCGCAAUGGGCGAAAGCCUGACGGAGCAACGCCGCGUGAGUGAAGAAGGAUUUCGGUUCGUAAAGCUCUGUUGUUAGGGAAGAAUGGAUAUGUAGUAACUAUACAUGUAAGAGACGGUACCUAACCAGAAAGCCACGGCUAACUACGUG